rnacentral:rRNA from 1 species
AAUGAACGCUGGCGGCAUGCCUAACACAUGCAAGUCGAACGAAGGCUUCGGCCUUAGUGGCGCACGGGUGCGUAACGCGUGGGAAUCUGCCCUCAGGUUCGGAAUAGCAGCGAGAAAUUGCUGCUAAUACCGGAUGACAUCGCGAGAUCAAAGAUUUAUCGCCUGAGGAUGAGCCCGCGUAGGAUUAGCUAGUUGGUGUGGUAAAGGCGCACCAAGGCGACGAUCCUUAGCUGGUCUGAGAGGAUGAUCAGCCACACCGGGACUGAGACACGGCCCAGACUCCUACGGGAGGCAGCAGUGGGGAAUAUUGGACAAUGGGCGAAAGCCUGAUCCAGCAAUGCCGCGUGAGUGAUGAAGGCCUUAGGGUUGUAAAGCUCUUUUACCCGGGAUGAUAAUGACAGUACCGGGAGAAUAAGCUCCGGCUAACUCCGUGCCAGCCGCCGCAGUAA